UAAUAAAUUAUUUUAUUUAGAUACCUCUAUUAUGAUUUUCAUUGUAUAUACUGUGGUUAAGUGUCAAUAGAUUCAAAAAAUAAUAGACUUUUAAUGUUGAUUGAUUUUUGAUUCCUUGACACAUAAAUUUGAAGUUGGUGCAAAUAUUUUGAAAAAUAUAGAAAUAAAUUAUGUAUAUGAUUCCAUCAACCUUUUUUGACAACAAAGCUCAAUAGUCUACAAAGAAAAAUAGCUUUAUGUUAUUGGAUUAUUUAAUAUAGCUGCAGCUACAGCAUCCUUUACUAGCUCAAUUUGAUCGUCAAGAUUAGCGAUACAGAUUUCAAGAUCUGAUAUAUGUUGUUGUUUUAAAAUAAAGUCUUGAUAUGAGUCAUAUAAAAAACUGUCUUUAUUUUUUAUUGAUGCAGCCAUCAUAAUAUCAACUUCAUGGGCUGCUUCUUCAAACAUGUUAAAAAUUUUCAAAUAUACACCAAGAGCAAUAUGCAGACUUGGUAAAGAAACCUAUGUACAUACACAGCAAUGUGACAUGUCGCACAGUUUAUGCUAUGCGGUUGCCACUCAUUGAAUAAAAGCAGUGCUGUUGUUGUUUUUCUUUUUUUUUAAAUUAUUGAUAGUACAACAACAUUUAUGGCAGAUUUUUUCCGGAUGAACAGUUUUUAUUUCUGUCAGCUUAACAAGAAAUACUUGCUCAAUUAUGAUUUUGAUUUUA